UGGGGAAUAUUGGACAAUGGGGGGAACCCUGAUCCAGCCAUGCCGCGUGUGUGAAGAAGGCCUGAUGGGUGAAAAGCACUUUAAGGGAGGAGGAGGGAACUGGUAUGAAUACUACCAGGUACUGGACGUUACUCGCAGAAUAAGCACCGGCUAACUCGGUGCCAGCAGCCGCGGAAUUACAGAGGGUGCGAGGGUUAAUCGGAUUUACUGGGCGUAAAGCGUGCGUAGGCGGCUAAUUGAGACGGAUGUGAAAUCCCCGAGCUUAACUUGGGAAUUGCAUUCGAUACUGGUUAGCUAGAGUGUGGGAGAGGAUGGUAGAAUUCCAGGUGUAGCGGAGAAAUGCGUGGAGAUCUGGAGGAAUACCGAUGGCGAAGGCAGCCAUCUGGCCUAACACUGACGCUGAGGUACGAAAGCAUGGGGAGCAAACAGG
rnacentral:rRNA from 1 species